AUAAGUAAUGUGAAUUGCAGAAUUCAGUGAAUCAUCGAAUCUUUGAACGCACCUUGCGCUCCUUGGUAUUCCGAGGAGCAUGCCUGUUUGAGUGUCAUGG
rnacentral:rRNA from 1 species